UACGUAGGGUGCGAGCGUUGUCCGGAAUUAUUGGGCGUAAAGAGCUCGUAGGCGGCUUGUCGCGUCGGAUGUGAAAGCCCGGGGCUUAACUCCGGGUCUGCAUUCGAUACGGGCAGGCUAGAGUUCGGUAGGGGAGAUCGGAAUUCCUGGUGUAGCGGUGAAAUGCGCAGAUAUCAGGAGGAACACCGGUGGCGAAGGCGGAUCUCUGGGCCGAUACCGACGCUGAGGAGCGAAAGCGUGGGGAGCGAACAGG
rnacentral:rRNA from 1 species